UACGGGGGGGGCAAGCGUUGUUCGGAAUUACUGGGCGUAAAGGGCUCGUAGGCGGCCAACUAAGUCGGAUGUGAAAUCCCCAGGCUCAACCUGGGAACUGCAUCCGAUACUGGAUGGCUUGAAUCCGGGAGAGGGAUGCAGAAUUCCAGGUGUAGCGGUGAAAUGCGUAGAUAUCGGGAGGAACACCAGUGGCGAAGGCGGCUGUCUGGGCCAGUUCUGACGCUGAGGCGCGAAAGCGUGGGGAGCAAACAGG
rnacentral:rRNA from 1 species